CCUACGGGAGGCAGCAGUAGGGAAUCUUCCACAAUGGGCGAAAGCCUGAUGGAGCAACGCCGCGUGAGUGAAGAAGGGUUUCGGCUCGUAAAGCUCUGGUGUUAGGGAAGAAAGAUAGAGGUAGUAACUGGCCUUUAUUUGACGGGAAUUACUUAGAAAGUCACGGCUAACUACGUGACAGCAGCCGCGGUAAUACGUAGGUGGCAAGCGUUGUCCGGAUUUAUUGGGCGUAAAGCGAGUGCAGGCGGUUCAAUAAGUCUGAUGUGAAAGCCUUCGGCUCAACCGGAGAAUUGCAUCAGAAACUGUUGAACUUGAGUGCAGAAGAGGAGAGUGGAACUCCAGGUGUAGCGGUGGAAUGCGUAGAUAUAGGGAAGAACACCAGUGGCGAAGGCGGCUCUCUGGUCUGCAACUGACGCUGAGGCUCGAAAGCAUGGGUAGCGAACAGGAUUAGAUACCCCUGUAGUC
rnacentral:rRNA from 1 species